rnacentral:rRNA from 1 species
CUACGGGUUGCUCCAGUGGGGAAUAUUGCACAAUGGGCGCAAGCCUGAUGCAGCCAUGCCGCGUGUAUGAAGAAGGCCUUCGGGUUGUAAAGUACUUUCAGCGGGGAGGAAGGGAGUAAAGUUAAUACCUUUGCUCAUUGACGUUACCCGCAGAAGAAGCACCGGCUAACUCCAUGCCAGCAGCCGCGGUAAUACGGAGGGUGAAAGCGUUAAUCGGAAUUACUGGGCGUAAAGCGCACGCAGGCGGUUUGUUAAGUCAGAUGUGAAAUCCCCGGGCUCAACCUGGGAACUGCAUCUGAUACUGGCAAGCUUGAGUCUCGUAGAGGGGGGUAGAAUUCCAGGUGUAGCGGUGAAAUGCGUAGAGAUCUGGAGGAAUACCGGUGGCGAAGGCGGCCCCCUGGACGAAGACUGACGCUCAGGUGCGAAAGCGUGGGGAGCAAACGGGAUUAGAUACCCCUGUAGUC